GAUGAACGCUGGCGGCGUGCCUAAUACAUGCAAGUCGAGCGAACAGACGAGGAGCUUGCUCCUCUGACGUUAGCGGCGGACGGGUGAGUAACACGUGGAUAACCUACCUAUAAGACUGGGAUAACUUCGGGAAACCGGAGCUAAUACCGGAUAACAUGUUGAACCGCAUGGUUCAACAGUGAAAGACGGUCUUGCUGUCACUUAUAGAUGGAUCCGCGCCGCAUUAGCUAGUUGGUAAGGUAACGGCUUACCAAGGCAACGAUGCGUAGCCGACCUGAGAGGGUGAUCGGCCACACUGGAACUGAGACACGGUCCAGACUCCUACGGGAGGCAGCAGUAGGGAAUCUUCCGCAAUGGGCGAAAGCCUGACGGAGCAACGCCGCGUGAGUGAAGAACGUCUUCGGAUCGUAAAACUCUGUUAUUAGGGAAGAACAAAUGUGUAAGUAACUAUGCACGUCUUGACGGUACCUAAUCAGAAAGCCACGGCUAACUACGUG
rnacentral:rRNA from 1 species